GCUUGGUGAGGGAGGAGACAAAGAGAAUGGGAAAAAGCAGGUGGACCCUCAAGAGAACGUGGAUGCCCGCCAACUGUAGCUGGUGUGAAUGUGUGAAUGGGGUGGCAGACGGGGAAGGGUGGGGGAGAAGAAAGGGACACAGGAGAGACUGAGGCGCCCAGGAUGGCCAAGGGGCCAGACAAAUCCCAGAAGCGGCUGGCAGCAGGGCAACCCCUGGUCCCUGCCAUAGUUCUUACUGGCUGCCAAUACCACUACUUCCUCCCUCAUCUCUUCAGACCCAAAGGAGGUGAUGACUUCCUGCGUUACCAGCACCGAGAGCCUCUACAUCCCUUGCCAGCUUCCUUAACCCUGCCCACAGUUCUGUAAAUGGUUCCUUCAUUAAAUUUUGCCUCUAUGGGCCCUUUUG